AGCUAGCCACCCCCUAAGCCCACCCAACCUCAGCCAGCAGGCAACCUCCUGGGUCCCUGUUCCAUGCUGUGGAAGCUUUGUUGAAGACAGAAGAACACCACCCAGCUGGGAAAUAGGACAUAUAUACAACAUAAGAGCUGAGGACUCAGGACAGCAUUGCCUGGAGGGGCUGCAGGGAAGAGGUGUCUCCUGCACCUCCUGAGGCCUGAGCUACAGCCCUGGAGAGGCCUGAACCCCCACCUCAGCUGCUUGACCUGAGGGAAAACGAGGUGGCCUGGGUCAUCUAGGGACUUGACAGCCAGAAGAAGAGCGGAGUGCAUGUGAGUACCAGGGAGGUGUGGACACACCCAGCUGAGCACUGGCUUGACUGUUACUCUGAACCUCACCCAAGAUCACAUGGAUAGUCAAUGAAGGAUAAUCAGGCCUCCUGGCUGGAUUCACCAAGCACCUACACAGGUGCUCAGAGGCCCUUUCUCUGUACUCUAGAAAAGCAAGUCCCUUCCUUUUGUG
rnacentral:lncRNA from 1 species